AAGAUGACAGUACUUUGGAAAUCAGUCGUAUCAAUUAUAACAGGCUUUACUGGACACACCAAAUAUUUAAAACUGUGCUUAUUUUUGCCAUUCUUUGGCUUAUCUGGAACAUAUUCAUCAAAAUAUUUGCAUAGUUGUUAGAUGUUACACUCUGCAUACAUGAAACAUUCACAAAAAGGCUUGCAUCUAAUAUAAGGAAUGUCAUAUAAAUAUGCGGAAGGUCAUCACAGUGGUCAUCAAGAUCUCGCGCUGUCGUUGGUUUUAAGUUGACUUGGAUGCCACGUGAAACCUUGUCGGGAUUUGGAAACAUUCGUGACCUAUCCCGAGAACGGGGAUUACACUGUUUGCGAUGUCAAAGAGUCAGCAGCCACUCGCCAGGAAUUCUGGCGCCACGCCAAUCGUGGAAAAAUAGGUUAUCGAUCAACCCCCCUCAAGUCUUGGUAAUAACUACAGGAUCCCUCCCUCCCAAAUCCAAAAGAGAGACAGGGAGAGAAGGGGUUAAAGAUCCGCGUCUAAGAAGUGGAAAUCUCGUGCACGGGCCCGGCGGGAUAAGCGUUAUUAAGUAUAUAUGUAUACAGUCGUGUACGAAGAAGAGCCAAAACCGUGUCGAGUUUUAUUAACUCCUUCAAUUUUAGGAGACAAUUCAAAUAUAUUUAUUAUCAUUUUAACAAUAGUGGCGAUUAAUGUAUAACAGCAAGUAAGUUUGAUCACGCAAAAUUAAUAAAGGGACAAACAAAGGACCGAAGGAAAUGAAAAAAUAA